CAAGUCGAGCGAUGAAACUACUUCGGUAGUGAAUUAGCGGCAAACGGGUGAGGAACACGUGAGGAAUCUGCCUUCAACACUGGGAUAACUCCGGGAAACCGGGGCUAAUACCGGAUACGAGCUCUGAUCGCAUGAUCGGGGCUGGAAAGUUUUUCGGUUGAAGAUGACCUCGCGGCCUAUCAGCUUGUUGGUGAGGUAAUGGCUCACCAAGGCGACGACGGGUAGCCGGCCUGAGAGGGCGACCGGCCACACUGGGACUGAGACACGGCCCAGACUCCUACGGGAGGCAGCAGUGGGGAAUAUUGGGCAAUGGAGGAAACUCUGACCCAGCGACGCCGCGUGCGGGAUGAAGGCCUUCGGGUUGUAAACCGCUUUCAGUAGGGAAGAAGCGAAAGUGACGGUACCUACAGAGGAAGCACCGGCUAACUAUGUGCCAGCAGCCGCGGUAAUACAUAGGGUGCAAGCGUUGUCCGGAAUUAUUGGGCGUAAAGAGCUCGUAGGUGGUUUGAUACGUCGGGUGUGAAAUUCAGGGGCUCAACCCCUGACCUGCAUUCGAUACGGUCAAGCUGGGGUUUGGUAGGGGAGACUGGAAUUCCUGGUGUAGCGGUGGAAUGCGCAGAUAUCAGGAGGAACACCGAUGGCGAAGGCAGGUCUCUGGGCCAAUACUGACACUGAGGAGCGAAAGCGUGGGGAGCGAACAGGAUUAGAUACCCUGGUAGUCCACGCCGUAAACGAUGGGCGCUAGUUGUGCGAACCUUCCACGGUUUGUGCGACGCAGCUAACGCAUUAAGCGCCCCGCCUGGGGAGUACGAUCGCAAGAUUAAAACUCAAAGGAAUUGACGG
rnacentral:rRNA from 1 species